rnacentral:rRNA from 2 species
UACGGGGGGGGCAAGCGUUGUUCGGAAUUACUGGGCGUAAAGGGCGCGUAGGCGGCCUGCUAAGUCGGAUGUGAAAUCCCUCGGCUCAACCGAGGAACUGCAUCCGAUACUGGCGGGCUGGAAUCCGGGAGAGGGAUGUGGAAUUCCAGGUGUAGCGGUGAAAUGCGUAGAUAUCUGGAGGAACACCGGUGGCGAAGGCGGCAUCCUGGACCGGUAUUGACGCUGAGGCGCGAAAGCUAGGGGAGCAAACGGG